rnacentral:rRNA from 1 species
UCAUGGCAAGCGUUGUCCGGCUCUGAGCUUGAUCCUGGCUCAGGACGAACGCUGGCGGCGUGCCUAAUACAUGCAAGUCGAGCGGACAAUAGGGAGCUUGCUCCCUAUUGUUAGCGGCGGACGGGUGAGUAACACGUGGGCAACCUGCCCUGUAGACUGGGAUAACAUCGAGAAAUCGGUGCUAAUACCGGAUAAUAAAUGGAAUUGCAUAAUUCCAUUAUAAAAGAUGGCUCCGGCUAUCACUACAGGAUGGGCCCGCGGCGCAUUAGCUAGUUGGUAAGGUAACGGCUUACCAAGGCAACGAUGCGUAGCCGACCUGAGAGGGUGAUCGGCCACACUGGGACUGAGACACGGCCCAGACUCCUACGGGAGGCAGCAGUAGGGAAUCUUCCGCAAUGGACGAAAGUCUGACGGAGCAACGCCGCGUGAGCGAUGAAGGCCUUCGGGUUGUAAAGCUCUGUUGUUAGGGAAGAACAAGUGCCAUUCAAAUAGGGUGGCACCUUGACGGUACCUAACCAGAAAGCCACGGCUAACUACGUGCCAGCAGCCGCUGUAGUCUACUGC